rnacentral:lncRNA from 1 species
UUCAUAUACCGAAGGGGAUUUUUUUUUUAAUGACCUCAGGAUAUUUAUUUUUUAUCCUGAGGAAAAACUUUGUUCUGCUUUAUAUGAAUAGUAGAGAUCCUUUGUACUAUAAGUGAUUCUGCCAAAAAUUCUGAGACUUAUCCAUAAUUAUGCCAUUAGGAGCAAAAUCUUAGGGCGGGCCUAGUUUACCACUUAGAAAUAGUUAACUAAAUUCCAAGGAAAAAAGUCUUGUGUUGUAACUGACUAUUAUUUCUUAAAUAAUAAUACUGAGAGUUUAUGUUCUUUUUAAAUUAGUUUGUCAACUCCUUUUUUCCUUGGCUUUUGAAGAAUGCUCACUGAGGUGAUACUUUUUAAUUUUGAAAGACUAAUUUUAAUCAGGACUUCCUAAUCUUCCAGUCUGAUCUGUUCUAUUCACUAGUUGUUACUUAGCUCCAUGAACAUUCUACUUGUUGAAAUCGUGAUACGAGGAUCUUGGAACUUUAAUUGAAUGUUCUUUUGUUGUGUAGUUUUCAAAAUUUCUUUCAUCUUUGAAAAUAUUUCCAAGAUAAAAUAUUAUCUUCUGUGAAAAUUCCUAUUGUUCUCUUAUAAUAAUCUAAAAGUCAGUGUUUCUCUGUUUUUUCAUCAGGCACUUACAUUAGAAUUAAUUGGAGGUCCUAUUUUCUUAAGUGCACAUUUGGGGCUAUAUUCUCAGUCAUUCUUAGUCAGUCAUUUUGGAAUGAGACCUGAUACUUAUGUUCAGUGAAAUCUAAGAACCUCUGUCUAGGACUUUAUUCUUCUUCUUAUGAAUACCUUAGGAAAUAAAACAAAGAUCCAAUGUAAUAUAAGUGGGCAUUCUUGUUUGUUACUUUUCUAAGAAUAUUUCACUUUGUCUUACCAGGCUUUUGACUAGUUUUAAUAGCUGCCAUCCUAUAUCCAAAAGAAGCCCUCUGGGAAAAAUAUUUUGUGGAGAAACCUUGUAAUUGUGCUUUCCAGAUUUUACAGUGGUAUUUUGACUGUAUAAUUCUUGUUAGGAGUAAUAUCCUAACAGCUUUUAAUAUGAACAUUUCCAUAGUUUGUUUUAAAUGUAGUAUUAACAUAAGAAUGCAUGAAAAACGCUAUUUAUUUGGGUCACUCUUGAGCACAGGAUUUUUAUGCUUUGCCUACAGUUAGAAAAGUCAUGGCAAUAAAGAUCUGGUGACAGUUACUGUAUUUUAAAUCCCUUUUUUCCAGCUUUCAUUAAAACUGCUUAUCUUCUCUAGGGCCAGACUCUUGCUGGUCUUUGAUUUACAGUCCUCUGCUUAUUUUUACAGGUUGUCUGUAUUAUCUGACUUCUUAAGUCCUCAUUAAAACUAAUUGUACUUAACAGUGUCUAAUGAAAUAAUCAGGAACUGAUGCAUUGACUCAAGUUUGAUUUCUGAAGUUACUGAAGACAGGCAAGUUGGGAGAAACACAUUU